rnacentral:rRNA from 1 species
GCACCGGCUAACUCCGUGCCAGCAGCCGCGGUAAUACGGAGGGUGCGAGCGUUAAUCGGAAUUACUGGGCGUAAAGACGCAUGCAGGCGGCCGCGUUAAGUCAGAUGUGAAAGACCCGGGGCGUUAACCUCGGAAUUGCAUUUGAAACUAGGCAGGCUAGAGUCUUGUAGAGGGGGGUAGGGAAGUUUCAGGUGUAGCGGUGAAAUAGCGUAGAGAUCUGAAGGAAUACCAGUGGCGAAGGCGGCCCCCUCGGACAAAGACUGACGCUCAGAUGCGAAAGCGUGGGGAGCAAACAGGAUUAGAUACCCUGGUAG